rnacentral:rRNA from 1 species
UACAGAGGUGGCAAGCGUUGUUCGGAAUUACUGGGCGUAAAGGGCGCGUAGGCGGUCUCGUAAGUCCUGUGUGAAAUCCCCCGGCUCAACUGGGGAACUGCACAGGAAACUGCGAGACUUGAGUUCGGGAGAGGGAAGCGGAAUUCCGGGUGGUAGCGGUGAAAUGCGUAGAUAUCCGGAGGAACACCGGUGGCGAAGGCGGCUUCCUGGACCGACACUGACGCUGAGGCGCGAAAGCCAGGGGAGCAAACGGG